rnacentral:rRNA from 1 species
UACCUUGUUACGACUUCACCCCAAUCACCGGCCAUACCUUCGAUGGCUGCCCCCCUUGCGGGUUAGCUCACCAACUUCGGGUACAACAGACUUUCGUGGUGUGACGGGCGGUGUGUACAAGGCCCGGGAACGUAUUCACCGCGGCGUAGUGAUCCGCGAUUACUAGCGAUUCCACGUUCACGGAGUCGAGUUGCAGACUCGCCCCCAACUGAGACUACUUUUAGGGAUUGGCUCCACCUCACAGCUUCGCUCCCCUCUGUAGUAGCCAUUGUAGCACGUGUGUACGCCCUGGCCAUAAGGCCCAUGAUGCCUUCACGUCAUCCCCACCUUCCUCCAGCUUGUCGCUGGCAGUUUCUCAGAGAGCCCUCUUAGGCAACAGAGAAUAAGGGUUGCGCUCGUUGCGGGCCUUAACCCAACACCUC